CUAAAGUGUAGCUUUUCCAGCUUCUUGAGUGAGCUUUGCAGCUUGACAGCUCCUGCAUGUCCAACACGUGUGAAAGCCUCUCAGUCACAUUUCUUCAUAAUGCUUGAAAUUUUUUCCUAAUGGCAAUGGAGAACUUUUCUGCUGCACACAGUCACCUUAUUAUUGAAUCACAGAAUGGGUUGGGUUGGAAGGGACCUUAAAGAUCACCUGCUUCCAGUCACCUUGCAUAGGGUGACUCUGGAGAGCAAGGAGCCUGCUGUGCUCCCCAUCUGUUCUUGUGGUCCUCUAUGAUUUGGGGGCUGGAUUUUGACAUGGAGAGUCUGCAGAAGCACCUCUUCUCUCUGGUGUCAGUUUACCCCUGUGCAAGGGGAUUAAGACAAGGCAAGGGAGAUGCAGAAGUCAGGAAUGAGGUUGUGCUACAAACCCAAGUAAGGGCCAGGAGCCUUUCUCCAUCACUGUGGCCUCUCCAGCUCAGUGUCCUUCUAAUAUCUGCUAAUCGGCUUUUCAUUUGUAGGCUCUGUUUUAAUUCACUGGUGUUCAUACCUCCAAUAUGAAGUUGGCAAGCUUGAGUCUGUGUAAGAGCUGUAAGUCAGGGCUGGGCAAAUGGCUCCAGUAGUGCCUGCAAGCUUGGCGUGUGUCAAGGGGAUUUGCAUCUUGAAGGCAGAGCUAAUCCCUUUUCUAUGGUCUGCCCUUGCAGGCAGCUGCCCCAGAAGCAUUUUGCCUGUCCUGUCCUUCACCCUCGCUAUAGGUGGGGAUUUCAGCAUAAAGAGGGCCGUGGGUCAGGGCUGGGAACACUGACCUGGAAUGCAGGAGGCUUGGAUCCAGUGUCUGCUCUCACUCAGACACUCAAGGUGACCCUGGAUAAGUCCUGCAGACUGCACAUACCAAGCGCCAGAGCAGGCUUACGCAUGCGGACACCCCAUCCACCCAUGAAGCUGGCCUCCAGCCCAGCUCCAGCUCCAGUGGCCAGCCCAGGCCAGGAGACCUGCUGGGGGAUACUGCUGGAAGAGAAUAAAUAUAUAAAGACCUUACCAGCACUUCCAAUCAGCCUUUUAAACCUUGAAUUGCAUCUGCUCGGUAUUGCUGGGGUUGUAUUUUGAGAGCUCUCUGGAAAUCUGGGCAUGUUUUUCCCCUCUGAUCUGCAGAACCUUCUAAAUAGCUGAUAUUGAGCGAGGGUUCUAUUUCAUAUCAUCUCUGCUUAAAGAUGCACAUGCUGCAAAAGUUGCCCUGAGGCCAGCAGCUGAUGAGGGAUAUGUCCAGAGUCCCUGGAUGAGACAGGAUUUUCAAAGUCAGCUGCAGGAGGCAGAUCCUCAGCACUCACUGAAAUGAAUAGGAAUCUUAAAGCUAAAUAUUCAGCUGGCUUUGCCAAGUGAACAAAAUUCUUGUGAACAUCCCUUUUGCCACUAUUUCCUUAAGAGAAUUAACCUCGAGAUCUGUUCUAAAAGUAGGAGGAUUGAAUGCCAAGGAAUUUGGCUGGAUUUGACUUCUGUGCUUCAUUUGCAGAGGCCAGAAUGAUCUUCCCACCGUUUAGGUGAUUAUUUACACCAACCCUGUGCAAUGAGACUUUUACGCAGUUGUGACAAGGGAUUUGGAAGCCAGGGAGGAUUUUUUAGACCAUUUCCAGCACCUUCUGUGUGACUCUGGAGUGACCUGCCAAGAUGCUCUAAGACUCAAAGAGGCAGAGCUCCCUACUCACCUUUCGUGGAAGAAGGAAGAGGUACAAUCUCCAUUUCUGUUCCAUGGAUUCUUCCCUUUCCAAUAAACCAACAUCAACCAAUGACAGGAGGGAAAAUGUUUGCCUUAGAAAAUCUCUCACCAGCUUCACAGCUACAGACCACACCAAGCCCAUCCUCAGGUCAUGGAGUUAUUUGCAAGUGUUUGGUAUCUGACCCCUCCUCUUUGAAUGGGAAGACUUGCACCAAAGCAGGCAGUCAUCACUUCCUCAGUCCUGGGAAAAAAGUCCAGUGCUGACAAUCUUUGAUGUGAUUAUUUUAUAUCCCAAGGUUGGAUGAGCAGGUGGAUGCUGCCAGAGCAGGGAAACCACCCAGCACAGCUCAGGCAGCUGAGUUUUGUUGGCUCCUACAGGAUCGCAGGGGAAGAAACCAGAGUUGGGUUGCAUUUGAAAUAAAGCUCAUGCGAAAAUUUGCAUAAUAACAUGUAAAAAAAUGUGAUACGAAACUAAAUAUAGUGCAGUGGUAUUUUACCAACCUCUGGUUAAUCAAAGUUAACAACAUUAUAAUGUAACAGACGUCUCACUCAUACUAAAUUUCCAUUCUUUCAAACCAUCAUCAUGUUUCUGAAAGGCAGCUCUACAGGAAAAGUGCAGUGGAAACCAAAAUCCCAACUAUACUACACUUCAAAUCACCGGUAAACUUGUCCUAAUAUGGAUUAUAAAGAGGUUUAAUACUUUAUUUUAGGCCUCACCAUGUGAUUUGAAGCAAACCUGGGUAGAAGAAUUGGGUGGAAGGGCUCCCAGCAGGAAACACCUGUUUCCAAUGCUCUGGAAAUAGCCAGAUUUCUCUAUCAUGUCUGGAACAGAUAUAUAAAUAUUUACUUUAAUCAAACCCACAAUUUUGUGUAGAAAGCAAGAAUGUUUUCAGGUAAAGCCUUUCAGCUUGCUCUAUUUAAUCUGCAAUAUUUUGAGUCUCUCAGAGGAGUGUUGAUGCUAUGAGCAUUAGCCAAGGCUGGUCCUGCAGGAAAGCCAGAGAAGAAAGCACCAAUCCUUUCUUUGAUUUUUUUGUUUCUUUCUCUCUCUCUCUUUUUUUUUUUUUUUUUUUUUUUUUAAGAAACUUGCCCUCUAAACCUCGUAUCUUUCCACUUUCUCCUCCUGCAGUUCCUAUCAUGAACUGCAAUCUCUGUCCUACCAGGUUCUUGCUGAGGCUCCAAGGCGUGUUGUACCUAUUUCUGCAUGGCCUUGAUUUAAAAAGCAGAGGUUGUGUUGUAAAUCAGACACUGGGCAGUAACCCUGUGCCAGCCUCACUGGCCUGGUGAAUCCCAGACUCUUGUUGCUGUUCACACAGGAGCCAACAUGGCAUUGGAGGCUCCGAUGGGCUCUGGGGGGGUUGGAUCCCAUAAAACCCCUGUGGGAAGCACACAGGUCCCAACAUGCUGAGAGAAACUCUCCCCUUUUUGAGUGGAUAGUUGAUCGACUGCCCUCACCCGGGGUUUGAUGCCACGAGGACCUGCCAGUGCUUGGCACGUUCCUGGCACCCUCCUCGCCCUGUUCAAAGCCCCCGUGGGUUGAACUCCUUCACGGCUGCUGUUAAUAGGUUAAUGAGACCCUCGUCUGGCAGAGUUAGAGUGCCUGGCUUUCUAAGAUAAAACUAUCCAGCGACAUUAGGAGGUUGGGCCUCUUUAUGACUGAACGCCAUUCAUCCUGAGUACACAAGAGCUCGCAAAUUUAAUAAGCAGAAUCCAUUUCAGCCCCGUGGCCUACCAUGGCAACAGGAGAGAGGGGCUCCAGCCUCCGCUGCUCAGGCAUCAUUAUCUCCAGGGCCAUCUGCUCCAGAGAAGCACAAUCCCAAACUCAUUUAAAUAGAGCCAGCCUGAAAUAUGUGACGAUUUUUCCCAGUCUCCCCCUCCCUUCCCGACGGCUUCCCCCCCCCCCCCCCAUCCCUGCACACAGCUACACCUCCACACACAGGCAGGAGGAGAUGUAAUAUUCAAAGGGUGAGGAGAGGGUACGGGAGACAAGAUUAUAGUGAUAAUGAACUGAGGGAAGGUGAACGGGGGAGGGAGGAACUUUCUGUCUUUGGCUGCUGUUCCCCGACAGAGCAAGAGGUUGCAAUAAAUUAUAAAUGUAUUUUUUUUUUCAAAUCAUCUUCUUGGAAGAAAUAUUUCCCAAACAAUGAUUCAUCACCCUCCCCAGAACUCUGCCUCUCUGGAACAAUUAAGUAGUGAAGAAAACUAACCCAGUUAAUUCAUUUCUUUCUGUGUUUUUCUGUCUCACAAUGCACCAUUCUCGUUAUGAGUGGAUAAAAUAAAUUACCUAAAUGUGUUCACCCCUUGUAACUGGUGACACUUCAGUAAGCAAAUGGGAGGGGUUAGGGGGAAAAGGAUUCAGUCCUUACCCUGUGGCAAGGAUUUGCACCCAAGUAUGUGCUGUCUCAUGUUUAAGGGCUCCCAAGCCAGACUUUGGGACAGGGAAUUGUAGCAACUUUCUGUCCUCAAGUGCACCCCUGAAGGGGACAGGAGAGGACAGGGGCUAUGACAGAGGGAGACAAACAAGAGCAUGCAAAGUCGCACCGUGUCUCUGCUUCUGGACAAAAUCACUUUUAAUGCAUCUGUUUUAUUUUGGACACAGGCAUAGAGGCUGCAGGAGCUGUAAGGAGGGGUGUGAGCCAAAGCAGGGGCAAUGGGAGAUGCUGACAGGUGGUUCUACAAAUCAUUGCCCCAGCAGUGUGUAAAGUUUGAGGGGUGCUUCAGGCUGUAACAGGGAGGAGAUGGCCUAGAGCAAACUCUAAGGAGCCCCAGGGAGACAUCCCAGUUGGCACCCAGGCUGGAAAGGGAGUUUCUCUGCCUGGCCCCUCCACCAAGGCUCUACAUGGUGGGAGAGAUGUAGCAGCCAGAGGGGAAAGAAACUACUGCAGGAAUUUCUGAAAGAUGUCGUUUCUCAUUUGUUUUCUGUCAGGGUCCUCUGACCUCUGCUCGCUGGGUCACAGGAGUAAAUCUGUCACGGGCUGAAAGACGGGUUUCCUCGGCUGAGGUGGAGUCAGUGCCUGUCCACUGGUAUCCCUGUCCCUUCCGAGAGUCUGUCGUCUGUCUGGAAACACCUGCCUUGUUCUCACUUUUCCAGGUCUGCAGGUCACAUACACCACACUGCAUGAGCACAUGUGUGUGUGCUCUGAGGUGUUCAGGUGGCAGAUGGGAUGGGAUAGGGUGAAAGCCACAGACCUCAUAACUUUCAGGGCAGGCAUGCAGUGAGACACAUGACUUUUCCAGCUGCAAUCCAUGCAUAUGCAGUGCCAGAAUCUUUCACCUGAAAGUCUUUCACCUGACAGGUCUCCCAGCUCUACUCUGUGGCACGUGGAGCUUGUGUGGAUUACACAGGGUGAAGCUGCAGUACAUCAGCGAGACCAAAUGGAAGUGUAGAAAUGCAUCUGGCAUACGGGGGGGGGGGGGGGGGGGCAAAUGAAAUCAUAUAUAUUCAUUACAUUUAUUUAGUGAUGUGAAGCCUCCCAGUGCCCAUAACACCCCGUAUCUGCCGUCAUCAUUCACCCACAGCAGAGGCAGUGCCUGUGGGACACAGCGUGGCAGAUGGCCAGGAAGCCAGUGCAGCAUCACAGAGGCAGGGACAUGAUGAAUGCCUGCAAGGACAGGCAUCUCCGCCCCGGCCCUGGGGAGAGGUGAAGGAGGCAGAAUGGAAUUAUAUAUCCUGGAAACUGGAGGCUUUCCACCAUCAACAGACUCCUGGGGUAUUUUGGUGUCCCCUUCUGUGGAUUUUUGCAAGAGUGGUGCUUGUUCAGGUGAGGAAAUUGUGGUGCCCAUCCCUGGGCAAUGUAACCACAUGUGCAAGACACCUGGAAUGACCAAGGUGCCCAGUGUCCCCUGCUGGAGGCUGAAACUGCUUUGGUCACAUCAUUUACUUAGCACAGAUAUAACCUUUAAGUGUUCACUAACUCAAGGUGUCAAGUCACUGAUUAGAAAUGCAGACUCAGCAAACCCUGGGUGAUAGAUAGCUUGUGACAUAUUAACUUACACAGAAAGCAUCUAUUGCUUGGAAAUCUUUUGAGGUUGAUAAAUUGAGGGAUCUACCACAAAAUCCAUAAUAAUAUGUUUUUCUCUGUAGCGCAGUUAGAAAUGAUAAGGUACCAAGUGUUAUCAGAGACGAAUAAGCUUCAAAGUAUUUGCAGAGGUAUUUUAAUUUAUUAAAUGUGCAGAAUAGUUGAAAAAUUAAUAGGAGCAGUUUUGCUGCACAUUUCUCAGCUUUUUCUUUUCCUGGACUGAGUAGUGCCUCAUGAAGACCUGAACCUAACCAAGCCUUUGAGUUAUCCUCCUGGACAAAGAUUUAGCCAACAAACAAAAAAUCCCUAUGAAAACACAGUUUCAGCUCCUGUUUAGCUCUUAUUUAGAAGAAAUAUUAUUUCCUUUAAGGGACUUUUGAACCUUUUUAUCUCCUCAUGGAAAUCCUUGUUAGAAACGUCUGAGGAACUGAUGUUCAUAGUAAGAUGCAGCGUCUACUCCAGAGGAAAGGAAAGCCAGAUAUCUUUACAGAGAGACUGAUGCUGCCAACUCCAGCUGAUCCUCUGUGAAAGCUCAGCCUGGAGUCACCAGCCAGCCUAGACCUUUGCCUUAAGCGCAUGCAUUCAAUUAUUUAACAAGGAAAAUGGGCUCCUGUAACUAAUAAAAUACCUGAUUGAGCCCCUUAAUCCCACUCUAACAUCUUUAAAACAGUGCCAACACAGGUGAGACCUCUGGGAGAGGAGAGCUAAAUAUUGCUCUCUGCCUCGUGGCUUGCUUUCAGACCUACAUUUCAUUCCAUCUCUGUUGUUCAGAAUUAAUGUUGCAGGGAGAGCAGCAGAGAGCUUUUCUAGGAAAGCAUGGCAAACUCCCAGCUCCAGCAGGAACCAGCCUACCACCGUGCAGAUCCGCUGUAACACGGGUUCUAAGAGAUAAAGCCCAGCAGGUGGGAAGGAAGAGAUGGAACAGGGCAGCUCUUCACUCUUCCACCUCCCUGAGACCAGCAGAAAACCGUGAUGGAUGUGGGGAAGAAAAGAUGCACUUUGAUAUUCACACACUCCUUCGUCAACCCAGCAAAGAUGUUCCUCCAUUCCCUCUCUUCCAGCUCUCUGCCUGCAAAGAAAUAUGGAUUAAGGAGUUAGGUGUAGUUAACAAAGAGUUUGGCCCAGGAUCUUGCCCCAAAGUGUGAAUUACCCUCCUUUCUUCUGCAUACUUUUCCAACCUUUAUUCCAACUGCUUCCCCCAUUAUGUUUAUAAAAUAAAAAAUACUCAAAUAUUUAGGCAUCCCCUGCUGAGGUAAGUUGAUUUCAAUUCUCUUUCAGUUAAUAUCACUUUGUCCCAUUCUUCUUAUUACUGGUGCCACCUGU